rnacentral:rRNA from 1 species
AUUGAACGCUGGCGGCAGGCUCAACACAUGCAAGUCGAGCGGGGGCUUCGGUCCUAGCGGCGAACGGGUGAGGAAUGCUUGGGAAUCUGCCUGGUAGUGGGGGAUAACGUUUCGAAAGGAACGCUAAUACCGCAUACGUCCUACGGGAGAAAGGGGGGGAUCUUCGGGCCUCUCGCUAUCAGAUGAGCCCAAGUCGGAUUAGCUAGUUGGUGAGGUAAAGGCUCACCAAGGCGACGAUCCGUAGCUGGUCUGAGAGGAUGAUCAGCCACACUGGAACUGAGACACGGUCCAGACUCCUACGGGAGGCAGCAGUGGGGAAUAUUGGACAAUGGGCGAAAGCCUGAUCCAGCCAUGCCGCGUGUGUGAAGAAGGCCUUCGGGUUGUAAAGCACUUUAAGCGAGGAGGAAUGGCUCUGGGUUAAUACCCUUGAGCAGUGACGUUACUCGCAGAAUAAGCACCGGCUAACUCUGUGCCAGCAGCCGCGGUAACAC